rnacentral:rRNA from 1 species
CUUGGUCANUUAGAGGAAGUAAAAGUCGUAACAARGKUUCCGUAGGUGAACCUGCGGAAGGAUCAUUAACGAGUUUUGAAACGAGUUGUAGCUGGCCUUCCGAGGCAUGUGCACGCUCUGCUCAUCCACUCUACCCCUGUGCACUUACUGUAGGUUGGCGUGGGCUCCUUAACGGGAGCAUUCUGCCGGCCUAUGUAUACUACAAACACUUUAAAGUAUCAGAAUGUAAACGCGUCUAACGCAUCUAUAAUACAACUUUUAGCAACGGAUCUCUUGGCUCUCGCAUCGAUGAAGAACGCAGCGAAAUGCGAUAAGUAAUGUGAAUUGCAGAAUUCAGUGAAUCAUCGAAUCUUUGAACGCACCUUGCGCUCCUUGGUAUUCCGAGGAGCAUGCCUGUUUGAGUGUCAUGGAAUUCUCAACUUAUAAAUCCUUGUGAUCUAUAAGCUUGGACUUGGAGGCUUGCUGGCCCUUGUUGGUCGGCUCCUCUUGAAUGCAUUAGCUCGAUUCCGUACGGAUCGGCUCUCAGUGUGAUAAUUGUCUACGCUGUGACCGUGAAGUGUUUUGGCGAGCUUCUAACCGUCCAUUAGGACAACUUUUUAACCAUCUGACCUCAAAUCCAGGUAGGANCYCACCCGCUGAACUUAAGCAUAUCAAUAAGGCGGAGGA